GACGAACCGUGCGAACGUUGUUCGGAUUCACUGGGCUUAAAGGGCGCGUAGGCGGGCGAUCAAGUCAGGGGUGAAAGCCUCCAGCUCAACUGGAGAAGUGCCUCUGAUACUGGUCGUCUUGAGGGAGGUAGGGGCAUGUGGAACUUCCGGUGGAGCGGUGAAAUGCGUAGAUAUCGGAAGGAACGCCGGUGGCGAAAGCGACGUGCUGGACCUCUUCUGACGCUGAGGCGCGAAAGCUAGGGGAGCGAACGGG
rnacentral:rRNA from 2 species